UUUCCUCUUUACUUUGUUUAUUACUUUUUUCUUUUGUUUUAUAUCACAAGGGUUCCAUGGUGUAGGGGCAG
rnacentral:tRNA from 1 species